rnacentral:rRNA from 1 species
UACGGAGGAUGCAAGCGUUAUCCGGAUUUAUUGGGUUUAAAGGGUGCGUAGGCGGAAUUGUAAGUCAGUGGUGAAAUCUUCCGGCUUAACCGGGAAACUGCCAUUGAUACUGUUUUUCUUGAGUGCAGUUGAGGUGGGCGGAAUGUGUAAUGUAGCGGUGAAAUGCUUAGAUAUUACACAGAACACCUAUUGCGUAGGCAGCUCACUAAACUGUAACUGACGCUGAGGCACGAAAGCGUGGGGAGCGAACAGG